GCCUCUGACACGAAGGAGGGCUUCUCUCUUCCCCUGCCCUUUCUGCCUAAAGAGUUGGAGAGAGAACUUUCCAUUCCAGAGGGAGGUGUCAUGGUGGAGAGGAUCAGGGGGAGGCAGGGUGAAAAGUUGGCUGCUGUGUUCCAGCUGCAGUGGCACUUGUGUGGUGAAGGAGAUAGCCAGAUCCAUGCUGGGGACAGCUCCAGAUGCCAGGGUUUUCCCAACAAAACAGGUGCACAUUCCAUCUGAAUGAGGUACAAUCUUCUGCAAGAAAUAAAAAGCCCAAACUGUCUGGAAAAUAGAGAAGGGGCCAGAGAGCAAGAUGAAAAGAAGGUCAUGAGAAAUAGAAGAAUGAAUGGACAAGGUCAAUGUGAGCUACGUAUUUAUAUGAAAAUACCACAGCAAAUCCUACAAAUGUACAAUUAAUGUGUGAUAAUAAUUGCAAUUAAAAUAAUACAGUUUUAUUACAGUA